rnacentral:rRNA from 1 species
AUUGAACGCUGGCGGCAUGCCUUACACAUGCAAGUCGAACGGCAGCACGGGAGUAAUCCUGGUGGCGAGUGGCGAACGGGUGAGUAAAGCAUCGGAACGUGCCCAGUCGUGGGGGAUAACGUAGCGAAAGCUACGCUAAUACCGCAUACGAUCUGUGGAUGAAAGCGGGGGACCGUAAGGCCUCGCGCGAUUGGAGCGGCCGAUGUCAGAUUAGGUAGUUGGUGAGGUAAAGGCUCACCAAGCCGACGAUCUGUAGCUGGUCUGAGAGGACGACCAGCCACACUGGGACUGAGACACGGCCCAGACUCCUACGGGAGGCAGCAGUGGGGAAUUUUGGACAAUGGGCGCAAGCCUGAUCCAGCAAUGCCGCGUGCAGGAUGAAGGCCUUCGGGUUGUAAACUGCUUUUGUACGGAGCGAAAAGGCUUCCACUAAUACUGGGGGCUCAUGACGGUACCGGAAGAAUAAGCACCGGCUAACUACGUG